rnacentral:rRNA from 1 species
UUUCCAGACUCCUACGGGAGGCAGCAGUGGGGAAUAUUGCACAAUGGGGGAAACCCUGAUGCAGCGACGCCGCGUGAGCGAUGAAGUAUUUCGGUAUGUAAAGCUCUAUCAGCAGGGAAGAAGAUGACGGUACCUGACUAAGAAGCCCCGGCUAACUACGUGUCAGCAGCCGCGGUAAUACGUAGGGGGCAAGCGUUAUCCGGAUUUACUGGGUGUAAAGGGCGCGUAGGCGGGAUGGCAAGUCAGAUGUGAAAUCCGGGGGCUCAACCCCUGAACUGCAUUUGAAACUGUCGUUCUUGAGUACUGGAGAGGUUGACGGAAUUCCUAGUGUAGCGGUGAAAUGCGUAGAUAUUAGGAGGAACACCAGUGGCGAAGGCGGUCAACUGGACAGCAACUGACGCUGAGGCGCGAAAGCGUGGGGAGCAAACAGGAUUAGAUACCCGAGUA